rnacentral:rRNA from 1 species
UACCAGCACCCCGAGUGGUCAGGACGUUUAUUGGGCCUAAAGCAUCCGUAGCCGGUUCUACAAGUCUUCCGUUAAAUCCAACUGCUUAACAGGUGGGCUGCGGAAGAUACUAUAGAGCUAGGAGGCGGGAGAGGCAAGCGGUACUCGAUGGGUAGGGGUAAAAUCCGUUGAUCCAUUGAAGACCACCAGUGGCGAAGGCGGCUUGCCAGAACGCGCUCGACGGUGAGGGAUGAAAGCUGGGGGAGCAAACCGG